GCGUAGAUAUGUGGAAGAACACCAGUGGCGAAAGCGGCUUGCUAGAUCGUAACUGACGUUGAGGCUCGAAAGUAUGGGUAGCAAACGGGAUUAGAUACCCCGGUAGUCCAUACCGUAAACGAUGGGUGCUAGUUGUUAAGAGGUUUCCGCCUCCUAGUGACGUAGCAAACGCAUUAAGCACCCCGCCUGAGGAGUACGGCCGCAAGGCUAAAACUUAAAGGAAUUGACGGGGACCCGCACAAGCGGUGGAGCAUGUGGUUUAAUUCGAAGAUACGCGAAAAACCUUACCAGGUCUUGACAUACCAAUGAUCGCUUUUGUAAUGAAAGCUUUUCUUCGGAACAUUGGAUACAGGUGGUGCAUGGUCGUCGUCAGCUCGUGUCGUGAGAUGUUGGGUUAAGUCCCGCAACGAGCGCAACCCUUGUUAUUAGUUGCCAGCAUUUAGUUGGGCACUCUAAUGAGACUGCCGGUGAUAAACCGGAGGAAGGUGGGGACGACGUCAGAUCAUCAUGCCCCUUAUGACCUGGGCAACACACGUGCUACAAUGGGAAGUACAACGAGUCGCAAACCGGCGACGGUAAGCUAAUCUCUUAAAACUUCUCUCAGUUCGGACUGGAGUCUGCAACUCGACUCCACGAAGGCGGAAUCGCUAGUAAUCGCGAAUCAGCAUGUCGCGGUGAAUACGUUCCCGGGUCUUGUACACACCGCCCGUCAAAUCAUGGGAGUCGGAAGUACCCAAAGUCGCUUGGCUAACUUUUAGAGGCCGGUGCCUAAGGUAAAAUCGAUGACUGGGAUUAAGUCGUAACAAGGUAGCCGUAGGAGAACCUGCGGCUGGAUCACCUCCUUUCUAAGGA
rnacentral:rRNA from 1 species